rnacentral:rRNA from 1 species
AAUCAACGCUGGCGGCGUGCCUAACACAUGCAAGUCGAACGCGAAAGGGGAGCAAUCCCUGAGUAGAGUGGCAAACGGGUGAGUAACACGUGGGUGACCUGCCUUCGAGUGGGGGAUAAC